rnacentral:rRNA from 1 species
GUGGGGAAUAUUGGACAAUGGGCGCAAGCCUGAUCCAGCCAUGCCGCGUGAGUGAUGAAGGCCUUAGGGUUGUAAAGCUCUUUCACCGGUGAAGAUAAUGACGGUAACCGGAGAAGAAGCCCCGGCUAACUUCGUGCCAGCAGCCGCGGUAAUACGAAGGGGGCUAGCGUUGUUCGGAAUUACUGGGCGUAAAGCGCACGUAGGCGGAUAUUUAAGUCAGGGGUGAAAUCCCAGAGCUCAACUCUGGAACUGCCUUUGAUACUGGGUAUCUCGAGUAUGGAAGAGGUAAGUGGAAUUCCGGGUGUAGAGGUGAAAUUCGUAGAUAUUCGGAGGAACACCAGUGGCGAAGGCGGCUUACUGGUCCAUUACUGACGCUGAGGUGCGAAAGCGUGGGGAGCAAACAGGAUUAGAUACCCUUGUAGUCC